GAAAUGCGAUAAGUAGUGUGAAUUGCAGAAUUCAGUGAAUCAUCGAAUCUUUGAACGCACAUUGCGCCCCUUGGUAUUCCAUGGGGCAUGCCUGUUCGAGCGUCAUUUGUACCCUCAAGCUCUGCUUGGUGUUGGGUGUUUGUCCCCGUCUCCGCGCGUGGACUCGCCCCAAAGUGAUUGGCAGCCGGCGUACUGGUCCCGGAGCGCAGCACAUGUCGCGCAAACGAGUGCCUUGGUACGGCGGCGUCCAUAAGCCACUCUCUCACGCUCUUGACCUCGGAUCAGGUAGGGAUACCCGCUGAACUUAAGC
rnacentral:misc_RNA from 1 species